CAUGUGGACCUCUGGCCUUCAAUCCAUCAAUGGAGGGGCUGCACAGUGCCCUGAUCAGGUGGUUGGGGUGCAGAUCACCAGCACAGAAAACUGGAAAAAGAAUAGCAGAGAAAGUAGGGUUUAGUACAGAUUGUGGAGCCAUGAAAGAAAUGUUAAUUCAAUACAUAUGCAGAAUAUCAGGGUUACCCUAAAAUGAAGCUCUGAGAAAGCCAUGUUACGAUAAUUAAUUUUUAUCAGUUUGUUAAAUGCUCCACCAUAUCAGCCUGGUGAAUUUCUAUCAGUCAGCUCUUCAGAUUUCAGGUGCCAAACAGCAGAAGGCCACUCACCUCACCACUUCUUUGGAAUUCUAAGCAGACCCUCAUUUGAAGAUCUAAGGUUACGAUUUGGAGUGUAAGGUGAGAGGCAUUCUGGGAUAUCGGAUGGAGCAGAUUAUUGAAGGCUUUGUAAACCAUCAGCAG